rnacentral:rRNA from 1 species
AAAAAAGGUAAGCUACUAAGAGCGAAUGGUGGAUGCCUUGACUGGUAAAGGCGAUGAAGGACGUACUAGACUGCGAUAAGCUACGGGGAGCUGUCAAGAAGCUUUGAUCCGUAGAUUUCCGAAUGGGGCAACCCAAUGUAUAGAGAUAUACAUUACCUAUAUAGGAGCGAACGAGGGGAAUUGAAACAUCUUAGUACCCUCAGGAAAAGAAAUCAAUAGAGAUUGCGUCAGUAGCGGCGAGCGAAAGCGCAAGAGGGCAAACCCAGUGCUUGCACUGGGGGUUGUAGGACUGCAAUGUGCAAGAGGUAAGUUUAGCAGAACAUUCUGGAAAGUAUAACCAUAGAGGGUGAUAGUCCCGUAUGCGAAAAACAAACCUUAGCUAGCAGUAUCCUGAGUAGGGCGGGACACGAGGAAUCCUGUCUGAAUCUGGGUCGACCACGAUCCAACCCUAAAUACUAAUACCAGAUCGAUAGUGCACAAGUACCGUGAGGGAAAGGUGAAAAGAACUGAGGUGAUCAGAGUGAAAUAGAACCUGAAACCAUUUGCUUACAAUCAUUCAGAGCCCUAUGUAGCAAUACAGGGUGAUGGACUGCCUUUUGCAUAAUGAGCCUGCGAGUUGUGGUGUCUGGCAAGGUUAAGCAAACGCGAAGCCGUAGCGAAAGCGAGUCUGAAUAGGGCGCUUAGUCAGAUGCUGCAGACCCGAAACGAAGUGAUCUAUCCAUGAGCAAGUUGAAGCUAGUGUAAGAACUAGUGGAGGACUGAACCCAUAGGCGUUGAAAAGCCCCGGGAUGACUUGUGGAUAGGGGUGAAAGGCCAAUCAAACUUCGUGAUAGCUGGUUCUCUCCGAAAUAUAUUUAGGUAUAGCGUUGUGUCGUAAUAUAAGGGGGUAGAGCACUGAAUGGGCUAGGGCAUACACCAAUGUACCAAACCCUAUCAAACUCCGAAUACCUUAUAUGUAAUCACAGCAGUCAGGCGGCGAGUGAUAAAAUCCGUCGUCAAGAGGGAAACAACCCAGACUACCAGCUAAGGUCCCUAAAUCUUACUUAAGUGGAAAACGAUGUGAAGUUACUUAAACAACCAGGAGGUUGGCUUAGAAGCAGCCAUCCUUUAAAGAAAGCGUAAUAGCUCACUGGUCUAGUGAUUUUGCGCGGAAAAUAUAACGGGGCUAAAGUAAGUACCGAAGCUGUAGACUUGCACACAACUUAGAUUAUUUAAGUUUAGAAUAUGAGAAACUAAGUUAUAUGUUUAGUUAUAUUUUUACUGAUUUUUAUAGAGUAAAGAUAGAAAUAAAACUUAGUAAAAUCAGUAAAAAUAUUCUUAGACUAAAGUUAAGUAGUUUAAGUUGUGUGCAAGUGGUAGGAGAGCGUUCUAUUUGCGUCGAAGGUAUACCGGUAAGGAGUGCUGGAGCGAAUAGAAGUGAGCAUGCAGGCAUGAGUAGCGAUAAUUAAUGUGAGAAUCAUUAACGCCGUAAACCCAAGGUUUCCUACGCGAUGCUCGUCAUCGUAGGGUUAGUCGGGUCCUAAGUCGAGUCCGAAAGGGGUAGACGAUGGCAAAUUGGUUAAUAUUCCAAUACCAACAUUAGUGUGCGAUGGAAGGACGCUUAGGGCUAAGGGGGCUAGCGGAUGGAAGUGCU